rnacentral:lncRNA from 1 species
AUAGCAAAUAUUUUCAAUUGCACAGUAUUGCACAAUAGCAAGAAAUAUCUAAUUGCACAAUAUUGUGCAAUAGCAAGAAAUUUCCAAUUGUAGUUAUCUUUCUUUGUCCAGAAUAGUAGUUGAAUCAACUUAAAUCAUUGUUUUAUACAAUAUACAAUGUAUAUUCACUUUUACUACCAACUGAUAAAUUAAAACAAUCUUUACCAUUCAGUGAUAACAAGCACUUUAUUUUACAUUUUAAUAUUUUAUGAUGUAUUUAAAUGAGUAGUUAUUGUUGCAAACUCCAUUAGGAAUUUGAAUUGAGAUCAGUUUUGGAAAAAGGGAAAGGGGAUGUGAAAAAAAAGGGGGGGGGGUAAAUUUUUCUCAUUUCAGAUUUCAUAAAUAAAAAGAAAAUUUCUUCAAACAUUGUUUUGAGAGGAUUAAUAUUCAACAGCAUAAUGAAUUGCUCAAAGGCAAAAAAAAUAUUUUAAGUUCACUAGACCACAUUCAUUCUGUGUCAGAAACCUAUGCUGUGUCAACUAUUUAAUCACAAUCCAAAUUUAGAGCUGAAUCCAGCUUAAAUGUUGUGUCCAUACUUGCCCCAAC